rnacentral:lncRNA from 1 species
CGCACUUCGGAAGUUCUGCGCGGACGCCGAGAAAAUCGGCGGUGAUCCCCCCACCAAUCGCAGACCCGUAGCGGAUAAAAGUUGGUCGUGUGCCCUACUGCUCGAGUGCCUUAGGGUUCGCCGCCACCAAGUAGAGCGUUGCGCACCGUUUUGAUCGCCGCCGCGGACAUACGGAGAUUUUAGGGGCUGCCAUCACCACACGCCAAUUCUCUGUCAUCGUGCUUACCCGCGGGGGUGCUCGGGGUUGACAGACGGGGCGAAGGGAGCUCGUGUGAAGGACGUCCGGGCCGGAGCCAUCGCGGACACGCCAGUGAGCACCAAGGUGAGCUUUCCGCAGUGGAGUUACCGCGCACUGCGAUAACAUCGCCUCCAGCUCUUCGUCAGGUUAGAAACCCCGAAUUGUGUAUGAUUCAUUCCCAAUUGCGCGCUAGCUCGACGAAUUAGAAUAUGAGGGCGGGAUUUGGCCGAUUUUUGCAGCCGGCCAUGUCCUCGCCGCCGCGGGCGGGGCCUCACCGUGGAUGGGGUCCUGGGCACGUCUUCGGUAUGGGAAGACAAUCCCUGGGCCAUUGAUUUAGUGAUUAACGGCCACGAAUAGAAGAGAGAGUAGGAGGUUUGGAGCCCUUGGAUUAGGCGUGUACGGCUUAGAUUAAAUCUGGGUAGCGUUUCGCCCGCGACCAUUAGAUGUCGAUCGGAUGGUUCGGGUGGGAUCUCUGGUAUUUAAAAUAUGGAUCGUUGGAUGGCGAUCCGAUGGCCAGGAUAGGAUACCGGUUCGACGUGUUUGUGGAUUUAAUCGGCGCCCUCGAUUUUGGAUCCAACGAUCAGAAAACACCUAUACCCCUUCGGCCGCGGCAAUUUUGCUAAAGAACCCCUGCCCUUAUACGAAAUCAACACGCCGUCCUGCGGCAUAGUUCUGUGUCUUGGGAAAAUUUACACCGAGGCCCCUGCGCUUUCCAGAAUUCAUGCGCGCAGUACAAGAACGAGUGAAAUGGGAGAAUUAAUUAUAGAAACUAAUUUUUAAUAAAAAAAUAAUUCUAGGACUUGUUUAAUUCAUAGAAAAUGCAUACUUAGUCCAAAUUAAUCCAUUCCAGUUCCUAUAAUUUUGUAAUAAUGUUGUUUAUCACAUAGUGUCUCUGUUUUGACAUAAAAACCAAAUUGAAAUUUAUCUCUUAAUUAAUCUCGUAUCAAAUACAUAGAACAUUCAGAAAUUCAUAACUCUUCUGUUUUAAUUCCGAAUUGAUUCGUUCAAGUUGCGUUAGCCUUGUAUAAAUAUUUACUAUGCAGUAGUAACAUUUAUUUUAUGAUAUCCCAUACUUUUAUAAUUAGGUAACUAAUUUGAUUAACCUAUAUUUUCGGGAUUAGCUUAUUCUAAUAAUAAUAUAGAAUCAUGAUCUUAGGGUUUAUCUUUGGCCUAAAAGAUGAUUUAUAAUCAAGUAAUGACUUAGAUUAAAGUUGAGUUAACUAAUUCUCUCAUACGAUGUAUACUAAUCAAUUUAUAAUAUAGUUUGAUAUUUUAAUCUCAUAGAUCUUCUAUCAUAACUCUUUAAUCGUAGCUCCGAUCUUAGUGAUUCUCGUUCCCACGAUCUCGUAGCAACGUGUAGGUCAUUAUUAUGCAGCUGGCUCUUAUGUUUGGUGUGAUUUUAAUUUUGUCUAUACCAUGUUUGUUUGUAUUGCUAUGACUAGCAGUGAGGUCAUGAGAAUCUGGGGAUCAUCCUGGUACCUGGAAUCUCAAGUCCCAG